rnacentral:tRNA from 1 species
GCCCGUAUAGCUCAGUGGUAGUAGCGCAUCACUCGUAAUGAUGAGGUCCUCGGUUCGAAUCCGAGUGUGGGCA